rnacentral:lncRNA from 1 species
GGCGGACCCACAGUGGGUCCUGGUGGGUCACGUGACCCACCAAGUUUGGAUUUUUUAUAAUAAAAAUGUAUUCAUCAGAACCAGAGGAGUCUAUCCCAUUCCAAAUUGCAGUCGAAAUAUGAUGAGGAAAACUAAUUGUCCCUCCGUAAUGUUCGUCUCGCUUGAACCCUGCCCUAAUCCUCCUCUUGACUUGAGUGUUGUCGGCGAUUGAAGACUCAAAGUCAUCCACCAAUCCAUCCACCAUCCGCUGUGAGCCUACUGCUGCCAAUUCAAUCGAGUGGUGCUGUUGCCGAUUCAAUGGAUUUGAUGAGCUAGCCAUUUGCCAUCGUCCAGACGUUGACAGUUGUCGCCACCAGUCUACCGUCUAUUGCUAUAGCCGCCCCUUCCCAAAUCCCAUUGACCCAAGGUUAGUUACAAAGUCUACAAGUCUUUACUCUUAUUUUGUGUUUAGAUUUUAACUUACAUAAACACUACAUCUCCUGAUCUCCGAACUCCGGUAAUGACAAUUAGUUAUGGCAGUGUGGCAAAGUGAAAUUUGAACUGAAGAUUUAUUUUGUGAUUUAGGAAUCUAUUUGAAUUUGUUGAACUAGAUAUGUAAAUGCUAGGGAUUGAAUUUGCUUGGAGCAAAUCUGAAUAUAUUAUUUGUGAAUUUCUGUGAAUGUAAUGAACUAGCAAAAUAGGUGUGUAAAUGUUAGGGAAUAGGGAUUGACUGUUUGAAUUUUGUUUGGGAUUUGGGAAUUUCAUCAAAAAUUAAAAAUAAAGAUAGCGUUAUUAGGUAAUUGUGAGACUGAUAUGUUUAAAACUUCAGGCAAUUAUGAAAUUUUUUUUGUGAUUAUUGAUAGAAGGACUAUUUUUUUUUUCACUUGAAUUGAUUGUUUUAUUUUCGUUGAUUGUUGUAAUAGUUAUGAAAAAGUACUUAAGCAUAAAUCUGCAUUUUCUUGUGAUAUACAAAACGUUAGUCAAAGGAAUAUUCAAAAUGAAAAGGAUGAAAUGAAUGAUAUGAAUUUUUAUUGAUUUUUUCCUCACUUUUUGGAAGUUUGAGUGUGUCCUACUAACAAAAAAUUCCCGCAUCCACCACUGUGCACACGCAUGACAAUAAUCCAUCCGUGCGCAUGGUGUAAUGAAGAUUGACUUAAGUUUGCAAAAUGGAAGUCAUGCGUAUGCAUGGGCUAAAAUUUGGGAAAAAUUACCCAAAAUAAGUAUACAUUUCAAAUAUUAAUUUGGGUUGAGUUAGUUUGAUUUUAAACAUAUAAUUGAGUUGGAUAAAAAAUCGAUCCAACUUGACCCAUGCCCACCCAACAAAAG